UACGUAGGGUGCAAGCGUUGUCCGGAAUUAUUGGGCGUAAAGAGCUCGUAGGCGGUCUGUCGCGUCGGCUGUGAAAACCUGGGGCUCAACCCCGGGCCUGCAGCCGAUACGGGCAGACUAGAAUUCGGUAGGGGAGACUGGAAUUCCUGGUGUAGCGGUGAAAUGCGCAGAUAUCAGGAGGAACACCGGUGGUGUAGACGGCUUUCUGGACCGUAACUGACGCUGAGACACGAAAGCGUGGGUAGCAAACAGG
rnacentral:rRNA from 1 species